AUCUAAAUCAUGCCAUGGUUUCUCACAAUCAAGAAUAUCAACAAUUUCUCAAUACCAUCAGUGUUCCCUAAUUCCUAUCAAUGAUGGAACCAACGAACGAAGAAUUUAUAGGGUCCUAAAGAAGAUCCACGUUUGGAACUCUUGAGGAAGGAAUGGUUUGAAGACAAGGAGUGUCUUGAUAUUUAAUACUUUAUUUCUAUUUAAUACUUUAUUUAGAAAUAAAAAAUAUUAUAUUGAAUACUUUAUUUGUAUUGGAGUUAUUAUUUUUUAUUUUCAAUACUAAAAAAUUAUAUAUUAUGU